rnacentral:tRNA from 1 species
GGGGCCUUAGCUCAGCUGGGAGAGCACCUGCUUUGCAAGCAGGGGGGUCAUCGGUUCGAUCCCGAUAGGCUCCACCA